UACGGAGGGGGCAAAUGUUGUUCGGAAUCACUGGGCGUAAAGGGAGCGUAGGCGGGUUUUAAGUCAGGUGUUUAAUCCCGGGGCUCAACCCCGGGUCGGCCAUGGCAACUACUCGGCUGGAGCACAGUAGAGGCAGGCGGAAUUCCGGGUGUAGCGGUGGAAUGCGUAGAGAUCCGGAAGAACACCGGUGGCGAAGGCGGCGCUCUGGACCGAGACUGACGCUGAGGCGCGAAAGCGUGGGGAGCAAACAGGG
rnacentral:rRNA from 1 species